rnacentral:rRNA from 1 species
UCCUACGGGAGGCAGCAGUGGGGAAUAUUGCACAAUGGGCGAAAGCCUGAUGCAGCAACGCCGCGUGAAGGAAGAAGGCCUUCGGGUCGUAAACUUCUGUCCUUGGGGAAGAAGAACUGACGGUACCCAAGGAGGAAGCCCCGGCUAACUACGUGCCAGCAGCCGCGGUAAUACGUAGGGGGCAAGCGUUAUCCGGAUUUACUGGGUGUAAAGGGAGCGCAGGCGGCGUGGCAAGUCAGAUGUGAAAACCCGGGGCUCAACCCCGGGAGUGCAUUUGAAACUGCCAUGCUGGAGUGCCGGAGAGG